rnacentral:rRNA from 1 species
UACGGGGGGUGCGAGCGUUGUCCGGAAUCACUGGGCGUAAAGGGCGCGUAGGUGGCCUGAUAAGGGUGUGGUGAAAGUCCGGGGCUCAACCCCGGAUCUGCCGUGCCGACUGUUGGGCUGGAGCACAGUAGAGGCGGGUGGAAUUCCGGGUGUAGCGGUGGAAUGCGUAGAGAUCCGGAAGAACACCGGUGGCGAAGGCGGCCCGCUGGGCUGUUGCUGACGCUGAGGCGCGACAGCGUGGGGAGCAAACAGG